AACUUUUGACGGUGGAUCUCUUGGCUCACGCAUCGAUGAAGAACGCAGCCAGCUGCGAUAAGUAGUGUGAAUUGCAGAAUUCAGUAAAUCAUCGAAUCUUUGAACGCAAAUGGCGCUCUUGGGUUCUCCCAGGAGCAUGUCUGUCUGAGUGUCGGAUA
rnacentral:rRNA from 1 species